rnacentral:lncRNA from 1 species
GCAUGUUCAAUAGAGGUGUUUACCCAGAGCUGAACUGGUUCUUCCUUUUUGGUAUGUUGGCACCCAUACCAGCGUAUCUGCUUACGUGCAAAUACCCUGAAAAGAAAUGGAUAAGGCUGAUCAACGUGCCCCUCAUUCUUGGUGCCACAAUGUCCAUGCCACCAGCUCGGUCUGUGAACUAUUUGAUGUGGGGCGCAGCUGGAAUUUUCUUCAACAUAUAUAUCUACAGAAAAUACAAGCAAUGGUGGGCUAGACAUGCUUACAUUUUGGCUGCUGCGCUUAAUGCUGGAAUCGCAUUCAUGGGAGUGCUGCUUUACUUUGCACUGCAAUCUAAAGAUAUUUCUGGUCCUGCUUGGUGGGGUUUGAGCGCUG